rnacentral:lncRNA from 1 species
CCAUCAAGCAUACCAGUCAUCACACAGACCUCCUCAAAAAACAGUUAUGGAAGGAAACGUGGAUCUGUCACCAAAUCUAGAAACAAACAUGACCUUAAGUUUCCUGUUAUAGACAACCUAUCAGUCAAGCAGAAGUUGAAACACAACAUAACCUAUAAAAAAAAAAAAAAAAGAGAAAAGGGUGCAUGACCCAAAUAAAGCCACCUCAGGGCGCAGGCAAAGUUUUGCAGGCAUGUUCACAAGGCUUUUAAUGAGCACAGGAUCGAGUCUUUAUUUCAUCCAACUUUGCAAUUGGUGGAGAUAAAACGGGUAAUUUAAAAUAAAUUAUUUGAGUUUAAAAUACA